AGAGUUUGAUCGUGGCUCAGGAUGAACGCUAGCGGCGCGCUUAAUGCAUGCAAGUCGAGCGAUAAGGUAUAUUUAGGUAUACACAUCAGCGGCAGACGGGUGAGUAACACGUGGGUACCUGCCCUCCAGACUGGGAUAACGGAUGGAAACAUUCGCUAAUACCGGAUACCCUCCGCAAGGAGGAAAGCUCAGGCGCUGGAGGAGGGGCUCGCGGCCCAUCAGCUAGUUGGUGAGGUAAUGGCUCACCAAGGCGAAGACGGGUAGGGGGUGUGAGAGCACGGCCCCCCACAAUGGGACUGAGACACGGCCCAUACUCCUACGGGAGGCAGCAGCAGGGAAUAUAGCGCAAUGGACGAAAGUCUGACGCAGCGACGCCGCGUGAACGAUGAAGGCCUUCGGGUUGUAAAGUUCUUUUCAGGGGGAAGAGGAAGGACGGUACCCCUGGAAUAAGCGUCGGCUAACUACGUGCCAGCAGCCGCGGUAAGACGUAGGACGCAAGCGUUAUCCGGAUUUACUGGGCGUAAAGCGUCUGUAGGCGGGCUAGUAAGUUGGGCGUGAAAGCUCCGGGCUCAACCCGGAGAGAGCGUUCAAUACUGCUAGUCUAGAGUGAGACAGAGGGGCGUGGAAUUUCCGGUGUAGCGGUAAAAUGCGCAGAUAUCGGAAGGAACACCAGUGGCGAAGGCGGCGCCCUGGGUCUAGACUGACGCUGAGAGACGAAAGCUAGGGGAGCAAACAGGAUUAGAGACCCUGGUAGUCCUAGCUGUAAACGCUGGAUGCUAGGUGUGGGGCUGAGAAGGUUCCGUGCCGCAGUAAACACGAUAAGCAUCCCGCCUGGGGAGUACGGCCGCAAGGCUAAAACUCAAACGAAUUGACGGGGCCCCGCACAAGCAGCGGAGCGUUUGGUUUAAUUCGAUUACACGAAGAACCUUACCUGGGUUUGACAUGUUCGUGGUAGUGAAGCGAAAGCGGAGCGACCCUUCGGGGAGCGAUCACAGGUGCUGCAUGGCUGUCGUCAGCUCGUGCCGUGAGGUGUCGGGUUAAGUCCCGUAACGAGCGCAACCCUUGCUCUUAGUUACAAGUGUCUAAGAGGACUGCCGGCGUUGAGCCGGAGGAAGGUGGGGAUGACGUCAAGUCAGCAUGGCCUUUAUGUCCAGGGCUACACACACGCUACAAUGGUCGGUACAAAGGGCAGCCAAACCGCGAGGUGGAGCGAAUCCCAACAAAGCCGAUCAAAGUUCGAAUUGCAGGCUGCAACUCGCCUGCAUGAAGCUGGAGUUGCUAGUAACCGCGCGUCAGCUAUAGUGCGGUGAAUACGUUCCCGGGGCUUGUACACACCGCCCGUCACGUCAUGGGAGUCGGUAACGCCUGAAGCCGGUAGCUUAGCUGGCAACAGGGAGCGCUGUCGAAGGCGGGACUGGCAACUGGGACGAAGUCGUAACAAGGUA
rnacentral:rRNA from 1 species